AUCUAGGAGGAGAAAAAUCGUACAACCACAAGAAGUUCGGAGCCAGUUUCGGCGUCGCGGGUUUUAUUUUUUGUUUUUUGGUUUGGGUUUUUUUUUUUUUUCUUGGUGUGUGUGGGAUGGGGCGAGGAGUUGUUUGUUUCUUCGCUUGGCUUGUUUUUUCCCCGCUACAGAAAUGCAUAUAUGUACACAGACACCCCCAGUGGGACCGCGAGGUAGGAUCUGGGAAAGAGCGAGCUGCGAUGCAAGUUCACACACCAGCCUGCUCCUCUGGGAGCCCGGCGAGCCCGAAGCCCCGUGCUCGCAGAGGGACCGCGCGGGCAAAACAGGCGAGGUGUCUGCGGCGACUCCGCCGACAGCCAGAACGUCCCAGCUGAGAGCGAAGAGCAGGAGCCUCACGAGGGAAGCUCGAUGGAUGGCGGCCGCCAGUGCCCCCUCAACCGCCUUGCGAACAGGUCGGAGCGGCGGCCGGUACCCGGCCUCCCCAUCCCUGUCCGGCCGGACCGCCCACCUCCCUCCGCGCCAUUCAUCCUCCCUCCCCUCAUCCCUGUCCACCUCUCCAUCCUUCGCUCCGGCUCCUCAUCGCCACCGCCUCAGCUCGCAGCCUGAGCCUCGUCCCCGGCCCACCUCCCCUCCACACCUCCCAAGCCACCACACGACCCACCUGCCGACGCGGCCAUUUCUCGACGGGGCCCGGGCUCCAGCUAUUUAAAGAGGAAAUGUCAUUUCGCUUCUCUCUCUCCCGGGUUCCGGCUCUUCUAAGCCGCCCCUAACCAAUGGGGUGGCCCAUGCAUCCGGCUCCGCCCCCAAGCUCCGAACUCCGGGCGCCGAUUGGCCAUGAGGAGCGCACAGGGUGUUUUUCCAUCAGUGAUGAUGCAUGAUUCCAGAUUUAGCCACACAAUGUCAGCUGAUGCCUCUGGUUACCAAAAAAGAAAAAGAAAGAAGGAGAGAGGGGCAUAAUCAGGACGGUGACAAUAAAGGUAUGCUUUUUCAUAAUGACUUAGUCUGAGUUGGCUGAUUCAUCAGCACUGAGCUCUAAGCUGCUUGGCUAACUAGUCCCAGAUUGUGCUGAGAGAAAAAAAAUGCUUCCGUGGCACUCAGUGCUUAUGAGACCUAAUAGUUCAUUGUAGUGGAUCGUACCUUGGAGACCUCCUUGUUGAUUGCUGCUUCGGACUGAGCUGCGUCUUCCCAAAAUUCCUAUGUCAAAGCCCUUCCCCCCCAGUAUGAUGGUAUGUGGAGAAUGGGGCCUUUGGAAGGUAAUCAGGUUUAGGUACGUUCAUGAGAGUGGGGCCCUCAUGAUGGGACUAGUGCCCUUAUAAUAAGAGACACCAGAGAGCUUACUCUCUUUCUCCCCUCCAUGUGAGGACACAGUGACAAAGCAGAUAAAUUCAAAAUAAUGUGCAAGUGAUAACAUAUGGCUAUAAUUAUGUAAUAUUUAUUUAUUUAUUUAUUUAGGCUGUGCUGGGUCUUAGUUGCAACACACAGUAUCUUCGUUGUGACAUGCAGGAUCUUUAGCUGUGGCAUGCACACUUCUUAGUUGCAGCAUGCAGACUCUUAGUUGCGGCAUGCAUGCAGGAUCUAGUUCCCCGACGAGGGAUCAAACCCGGGUCCCCUGCAUUGGGAGCACACAGUCUUACCCACUGGACCACCAGGGAUAUAAUUAUUCAGAACAUAAUAUACCUUGCUAAUGUGAACUAAUGUUCUGUAGACUUCAGUAAUAAAAGAAAAUUAAUUGCACAUGUGGGCUCUUUAUUUAUUUAACAUCUUUAUCUCAGUAUAAUUGCUUUACAAUGGAAUGUUAGUUUCUGCUUUAUAACAAAGUGAAUCAGUUACACAUAUACAUAUGUCCCCAUUGCUCUUCCCUCUUGCGUCUCCCUCCCUCCCACCCUCCCUAUCCCACCCCUCUAGGUGGUCACAAAUCUCCAAGCUGAUCUCUCUGUGCUAUGCGGCUUCUUCCAUGUGGGCUCUUUAAAAGACCCCGUAUGCCAGCAACGAAGAUCCCUUGUGCCGCAACUAAGACCCGGUGCAGCCAAAUAAGUAAAUAAAUAAAUAAAUAUUUUUUUAAAAAAAAGUAUACGGGAGGAUGUGUGUAGGUUAUAUGUAAAUACUACUCUCAUUUUUUAAAAAAAGUUAAAACUAAAACUAUUAUAUUACGUGCAAAAGGGGUGACUUGCAUAGGAUAUUACACAUGUACACACGUAUAUCAGCCAGUACAGAAAGGUAGGAACAGUUUUAUCUUUUGAAUCUUUUGCUAUACUGUAUUACCAAGAAGAUGGUGAUAAAUAAAAUUACAAUAUAAACUAAAAUCACGCCACAGUAUAUUUUAACACUUUCACUUUAGAAAAACAUAACACAGUUUGGCUACAUAGGAAGAAUAACACUGUAUGCUAAAUCUCAUAAGAACGCUGAAUAUCUCCAUGUUAUUCUAAGAAUUGUCAAUUCUAUGCAUAUUUCUUGUACUAGAGGGGAAAAAAGGAGUAUUAAAGAUAACAGCAAUAAACAUCUUUCAAAAAUUUCUAAAUGAUUUCUUAAGAAAAUGAUUUUAAUUACUAUAAGAUUCUCAGUUUAUGAUUGAAGUGGUUUUCAUGUUAUGUUUUAUAUUACACUGAACUAUGCAACUUAUCAGUAUAUCUUCCAACCCAAUUUCAACCUUCCCUACAUCUCUGAAGCUGCCAUUGAAUUGGUCCUGACUCUACCUAAUGGAUAAUGGUCUGAAAUGGAUGGAUAGAUUAAGGAAUGAGGUCAUAUAUUGUCAACUGGGGGAAAGAAACAAAAAACAAAACACAACAUAAGAGCUGUGAGUUAUGUUUUAUUUGGGGCAAAAUGAGGACUAUAGCCUGGGAGACAGCCUCUCAGAUAUCUCUGAGGAACGGCUCCAAAGAGGUAAGAGGGAAGGUCAGUAUACAUGUUAUUUUAGUGAAGGGGGGUACGUGCAGUCAAGCACACACUUUGAUAGGUUACUGCUGGUCACAAGAAGUUUGCUGCUACUCCAAAGGAGCAGAGGUCUCCAUUAAUGAUUUUAGUGCUUUUCUAGAUAUGAGAAGAUGCAAUAAUUUGGGCUCAUAAAAUCUCCUGAAAAAUAUCUAACUGUCUGAAGGCCUGUUCUGCCAGUUUUUCCCAGAGCACAGAGUGUCUCGUUCCUGAUCUCCACCCUGAACCCCGUUAGGGUGUGUUGAAUGUCAGUGACUACAGUGGCCAGCGACCUAAUCCUCGUAGAGGGAGAUGGCGAGUGAUUAUUUUCCAUCCAUGUAAAACUUCCGUUGCAUUUUCACUUGCCACACAGAGUAAUCAGAUGAAUUCAGUGGGUUUAGGCAUAGAUUAAGCAAGAAGUUUAAACACCUAAUUGAAAUAGUCUCUUCUAUUUGGUCAUACUUUGUCACCGAAUUACCCCAAUGUUUUGUCCUACUGAAAUAUACACGUUAAUUAUAUGUAUCAAUGAUAUAUGUGAGCUAUAACUCAUAUUUUAUGUCAAGACAAGAAAAAUUUAAACAAAAAACUCUUCUGUGCCCUUUGGCCUCCUCUCUCCCCCAACUGCAUUGUGCACCUGUACCAUGCAUCAACCAAACCUGCCCCACUGGGAGCUGCUCAACCAUAAAGACCAGUAUUCUCCUAGUAUCAGUAAAAUGACUCCUGAAAGAUAAUAUUCCUUCUUGAUCUCAUAAGGGGUCACAUGGUGCUUAGAUCUGGAUUGUGUAAACUGUCAAUUAUAUGCAACGUAUAGUCCUCUGUCUCGAAAAACAUAUAACUGUGCCUUGACUCCUAACAGGUGGAACAGUUCUCAGAGCUUUCUGAGAUGUUCUUCCUGGAUUAUAAUCCUCAAAUUUGGCUUGUAUAAAAUUUUCCAUUCCUUUCUUAGAUCAAUCGAUUAAUUUUUUGUCAACAUAUACGUAUAUAUAUUAUAUGUAUAUGAAAGCUUGAAUAGAUUUAUAACAAAUAUUUUUAAUAAAUUUGAUUGAUAUGUCUUUUGCCAUAUUUGUGGGUACAUACUAGUUAAUUAUUUUAUCUUUCCAGAAAAUUCAACUUUUUUCAUUACAAAGUGACAUUCCAUGUUUUAGUAUGAACUUUUUAGUAUUUCGUGUUAAAGUCUAUUUUGUUGGAUAUUAAGAAAGCCACAUGGGUUUCUUUUUUUUUAAAAUAAGUUUAUUUUAUUUAUUUAUUUUUGGCUGCUUGCAUCUUUGUUGCUGUGCGUGGGCUUUCUCUAGUUGCGGUGAGCGGGGACUAAGUUGCAGUGGGCGGGCUUCUCAUUGCGGUGGCUUCUCUUGUUGCACGGCACGGGCUCUGGCACGUGGGCUCAGUAGUUGUGGCACAAAGGCUCUAGAGCUCAAGCUCAGAAGUUGUGGAGCAUGGGCUUUGUUGCUCCGCGGCAUGUGGGAUCUUCCCAGACCGUGUGCCCCGCAUGGGCAGAAGAUUCCCAACCACUGCACCACCAAGGAAACCCACAUGGGUUUCUUUUUAACUAGUGUUUACAUGGUCUUUUUCUUUCUUUCCUUAUAUUUAAGUUGGUACAUAUUUUUAAUAUAAAUAGGGCAUUCUAAAAUAUUUUAAAAAUUAAGUUAAUAUAAUAUUUAUAUAGUUAAAUAUUAUAUAUUAAAUAUUAUAUUUAAUGUUUUAAUAUAAUAUUUUUAUAUAAUUUUAUGUAAAUUUUUAAUAUUUUAUAUUAUUUUAAUAAUCUGAAAAACUUUAAUUUAGAACAGUUUAGUUCUUCUAGAUUUAAAGUAAUUACUAGGGAGUGCUGCUGGCAUCUAGUAGACGAAGGCCAGGGAUGCUGCUAAAUAUCUGACUCUAAGCAGACAGGGUAGGGAGUCUCCAGAGGAAAAGAACCAGAUAUAGCUUUCUGACGUAAGAGAGGCCAUUUUAGGCCUAAGCCAUUUGUGAUCUAAGCCUGCCCACAAUGGUUGUCCUUGAAUAGGUCUCAGUAAUAAUGACCUGAAGGGUCAAGGGCAAGAGAAGGAACAAUAGCAAAGAUAAUAAAUCAGAUAAUAAAGACUCCCAGGUUUUUUUCCCCCCAAUGGUAAAGAUUACAUUUUUGAGCUGUUUUGCAGAAUUUAAACCCCCUCAGGUGCUCAACCACUAGAUCAAUUGGAACCAAAGGGAUGACGAUGUUGACCUUUUCUGACCCUCCUGACUCCAAUCAACUAAAGCGUGGACUCUGUUGACCUUUGCCCUAAUUCUAUGCUCAAUUCUUCUCAGCUCAGGCUCCUUCAUGAACAUGCAGGAUCUAGAUCUAUUCCAAAUUUGUGGAAUUAAUUAGAUAAUUAAGAGGAACCUCAGAACUACGAGGAAUGAUCAAAGAAGUCAUCUGACACAUCCUACAAAGAAAAGGAGGAUUCCCAAAGAUAUGAAAGAAAAAAAGGCGUGAAGGUUUGUGACCACCGCCAAAAGCUGAUCCCAACAAUACCAUCCCAGCACACACCGCACCCGCGCGCCUCCCCCACGUGCGCCUUCCAAUCAAGCGUCUCAAAGAGGUUUCAGCUGAAGCCCAUUCCAGCAGGCGGCGUUCCAGAGAGCAGGAACCGUCUCCACUCUUCCUCCGGAGAUUCUGCAUUUUAAGAAAGACAAAAGAGGGCUUCCCCGGUGGCGCAGUGGUUGAGAGUCCACCUGCCGAGGCAGGGGACACGGGUUCGUGCCCCAGUCCGGGAAGAUCCCACAUGCCGCGGAGCGACUGGGCCCGUGAGCCAUAGCUGCUGGGCCUGCGCGUCCGGAGCCUGUGCUCCGCAAUGGGAGAGGCCACAACGGUGAGAGGCCCGCGUACCACAAAAAAAAAAAAAAAAAAAAAAAAAGAAAGACAAAAGAAUAUUCUGUUAUUGUAAAUAGUGCUGCAAUGAACAUUGGGGUGCAUGUAGACAAUGGAAGCAACCUAAUUGUCCAUCACCAGAUGAAUGGGUGAAGAAGAUGUGAUACAUAUAUACAACGAAAUACUACUCAGCCGUAAAAAAAGAAUGAAAUAAUGCCAUUUGCAGCAACAUGGUUGGACCUAAAGAUUAUCAUACUAAGUGAAGUAAGCCAGACAGAGAAAGGCAAAUAUCAUACGAUACCACUUAUGUGUGGAAUCUAAAAAAAAAGAUACAAAUGAACUUAUGUACAAAAUAGAAACAGACCCACAGAUGUGGAAAACAAACUUAUGGUUAUCAAAGGGUAAGGGGGUGGGAGAGAUAAAUUAGGAGUUUGGGAUUAACAUACGCAGUACUGUAUAUAAAACAAAUAACCAACAAGGACCUACAGUAUAGCACAGAGAACUAUACUCAAUAUUUUGUAAUAACCUAUAAGGGAAAAGAAUCUGGAAGAAUAUGUAUAUAUGUGUAUAACUGAAUCACUUUGCUGUAUACCUGAAACUAAGACAACAUUGUAAAUCAACUAUACUUCAAUAAAAAUAAAAUAAAUUAGUUAAAUUCAUUUUAAACCAAAAAAGGGACAUUUGGUUAGGGAAAAAAGCCCUUAUUUGGCCCUAGGUAACAAGUUGCCUUCUCUAGGCAUAUCGAUACAUGAGUUCUACAAGUUAAGCAUGAAAAACUGCUGAUAAAAAUGGUUGAUAAUUAUUCUGUCAGUUGCUGGAUGUUAUCUACCAGCAGUUCAACCUCAGUUAACAAGCAAAGUUCAGGUUCCUUCACAGCUAAUUUAAGUAUCCCAUUAAUAAGUGAAAACAUAUUUAAAUUAAAAUACCCAGAAGAUUUAAAAGAAGAAAAAAGGAAGGAGGUGGAAAAACUUUAGAGAGGACCAGAAAGAAAUGCAUCAGUAAUUUCUCUGUCAGGUAACACUUUCUCAAACUGGAGUGAAUGCCAAAGAUGAAAUAGAAAUUUCUUUAUCAAACGAGAAUGUGAAAGAGGGCUGACCUUUGAUCAAGUGUCCAUUUGUAGUCUUGACAAGGAAAUUUGCAUGAGAAAAAAAGGACUCUGGACACUUACUACAUGAAAAGUUAAGUUGCAGCAAUGUAAAGGAAGCCAAAGGCCAAACUUCUUAACAGCCUGUCAGAUAAAAGCUGGAUUCCUUCCACUGUGCAGGUGGGAUGUUUUACAAGUUGCAAAGGGUUUUUAAGGAGGACAGAUGGUGGUAUUUUUGUUCUGUGCUUCAACACAAAGUACCUUCCAUCUUUUUAGGCCUGAGUUUGAGCUACUAAUUUUUCAUCUCACACAUAUUACAGAUUGGGAUGGAGAAAAGCAAAAACAGUAACAUAAACAUCGUCACCCAUCUAAUUUGCAUUCAGUAAUUAUUCUUCAAGAUAAUUAGUUGUAAGCCUAUCAGUUUCUUUUUAGCGUCCCCUGUAAAACACUAUCAGAAGACCAAUAGCUGUCUUUUAAGAGUUAAUUAAAAAUGAUUGUGUAUUAUAUAAUGAUCUGAGUGAAUAUAAGAUUAUUUAUAUAUAGAAUCAUUGUGGUACAGAUAGAUGGUUUAUCUUUUCGUUCAGAGAAUUUGGCUAAUAGUUGGUAAUGAACCUAUUUGUGAAGAGAUCCUCAGCAUGAAGUCCAGCUAAACUGCUAACUCAAAAUAAUGGAAAUGACGCAGUGCAGGACCCCUGCCCUGACUUCUCACCCUAUGCAUUUUUUCAUUCAAGCACAUUAUAGCGUUUUAAAGACUGUAUUUCAGGCACGUAGUAGGCACUUAAUACAUAUUUGUAGAAUGACAGAAUAUUGUGUCCAAUAUUGAUAGUUAUUUGGAAAAGGCAAUCAACGGAAGAAAAUUGUGCUUUUGUCCUUCUAAUAGAGCUCUUCACUGGAUGAAAUUCAUUUUUACUUUGAGGAGGCAAAUAGAAUUAUGAUGAAUUGUAUGGGCUUUAGAAUCUGACAUCUUACUGCAAAUCCCAGAUAAAUCUUAACAACUUGUCACCAACUUGGAAAUGUUCAGUAAGUGACAGCUGCAUAGCUUUUCAGUUUUAUGAAUGAUUCCACGUAAGUUCUCCGCGAAACUCCCAUCCUUAUCACAAGCAUCGUCUGAGUCUUGCCUUUAGAAUAUGUGCAUUUGUUUAUAUGUCUCCCAUCCACGUUAACACAAGGGAGUCUUUUUUCAGUUGGCAUUGCUUAUCGGUCCUCAUUCCUGGUGGUACGCACCACAGCACUAACCUUAGCUGCUAUAGAUGGUAUGCCUGACAGUUCUAUGUCUUAAGAGCUGACUUCUCUCUGUAAAUAGACUGAUACUUUUGACAGUUGUCCAUGGGAGGGGGUUUGAGUGGAUCAUCUCAAGGUCAAUACCAUCUUUUAUCAAGAGCUAACAUAAAUAUCUAGCUCCUAAUUGUUGGUUUAUUUGUACUAUAAACUUCGCUAUGCAAAACACUUUUCCUUUCUUUAAUAUUCUCUCCAAAAU